UUGCAGGAGAGUAUUUAGAAGUUGAGGUUUAGGAAAAUAUUUUAAAAAGAUAUGCGAAGAAAAAGAUGUAAAAAGAUAUAUACAAGGACACGACAGGUCAAAGACGUCUGAUUGCUACGCCAUCUUGGAUUUAUGUGUGGAUUAAUUGUCGGAGUAGAGGACCUUGUGCAUUUCAGCGAGACUAUUCAAGCCAUCGACUCACUGAUGGUUGAAGAUGAUGAGCGAUUGACAAAUGCAGUCUGGAAUCUGCUGGCAUCACAGCACAACAUCACUCUAAGCACCGUCAGAAGACAGUUGAAGAAACUUGAGUGGACUUAUGGAAAGGCUCUGUAAGGGCCAGUCAAGGUGGAAGUUUGAAUUGAUCAUGACAUCCUUUGACCUGUGGGGGAGCAGUGAACUAUUCUCCUCUGGAGUAUGGGCCCUGAGAAACCUGAUCCACAGGAUGCCGACCACCCCUCCCUCCUCCCUCUAUGCCCACCCACCAGCUUUCCCGGCCUUUUCCUCCACCACACCACCCGCCCCCCCCUGUUCCCCGUACCCCUCCCCACCAUGCUCCCCAGGCCCUGGGGUGAAGGGGAUUGGAGGUUCCGGAGGGGUGACCCUGCGUUCUCCAGCCACUCGUCACCUCACCCACCUGGACCCCUGGAGGAGGCAUAGCUGGGAGCCUGUGGCUGUACUGACAGUGCAGCAGCAGGGGACGGAGCCCAGCGACAACCACAG
rnacentral:lncRNA from 1 species